rnacentral:rRNA from 1 species
AGUGAACGCUGGCGGUAGGCCUAACACAUGCAAGUCGAACGGCAGCACAGUAAGAGCUUGCUCUUACGGGUGGCGAGUGGCGGACGGGUGAGGAAUACAUCGGAAUCUACUUUUUCGUGGGGGAUAACGUAGGGAAACUUACGCUAAUACCGCAUAUGAUCUACGGGUGAAAUCAGGGGAUCUUCGGACCUUGCGCGAUUGAAUGAGCCGAUGUCGGAUUAGCUAGUUGGCGGGGUAAAGGCACACCAAGGCGACGAUCCGUAGCUGGUCUGAGAGGAUGAUCAGCCACACUGGAACUGAGACACGGUCCAGACUCCUACGGGAGGCAGCAGUGGGGAAUAUUGGACAAUGGGCGCAAGCCUGAUCCAGCCAUACCGCGUGGGUGAAGAAGGCCUUCGGGUUGUAAAGCCCUUUUGUUGGGAAAGAAAAGCAGCAGGUUAAUACCCCGCUGUUCUGACGGUACCCAAAGAAUAAGCACCGGCUAACUUCGUG